CCCUUAGAUGUUCUGGGCCGCACGCGCGCUACACUGAUGCAUUCAACGAGUUACCUUGGCCGAGAGGCCUGGGCAAUCUUUUGAACGUGCAUCGUGAUAGGGAUAGAUUAUUGCAAUUAUUAAUCUUGAACGAGGAAUUCCUAGUAAACGCAGUUCAUCAAACUGCAUUGAUUACGUCCCUGCCCUUUGUACACACCGCCCGUCGCACCUACCAAUUGGAUGGUCCGGUGAAGCCUCGGGAUUGUGGCCAGUGCCUUUUUGGUUUUGGUUGCGAGAACUUGUCUAAACCUUAUCAUCUAGAGGAAGGUGAAGUCGUAACA
rnacentral:rRNA from 1 species